CAAUAGCGUAUAUUUAAGUUGUUGCAGUUAAAAAGCUCGUAGUCGGAUUUUGGCUGAGAACGAUCGGUCCGCCGUUAGGUGUGCACUGAUUGGUCUCAGCUUCCUGGUGAGGAGGUGUGCUUCACGGCCACUUAGUCACCGUGGUUACUUUGAAAAAAUUAGAGUGUUCAAAGCGGGCUUACGCUUGAAUAUAUUAGCAUGGAAUAACACCAUAGGACUCCUGUCCUAUUUCGUUGGUCUCGGGACGGGAGUAAUGAUUAAGAGGAGCAGUUGGGGGCAUUCGUAUUUCAUUGUCAGAGGUGAAAUUCUUGGAUUUAUGAAAGACGAACUUCUGCGAAAGCAUUUGCCAAGGAUGUUUUCAUUGA
rnacentral:rRNA from 1 species